CAACCCUCAAGCUCUGCUUGGUCUUGGGCCGCGCCGGCGACGGCGGGCCUCAAAAACAGUGGCGGCGCCGUCCGGUCCCUCAGCGUAGUAAUUCUUCUCGCUGCUGGGCCCGGGCGGCCGCUGGCCAACAACCCCAAAUUUUCUAU
rnacentral:misc_RNA from 1 species